UUUUUUUAUUCCCUGCAGACUGUUCUCUCUCAGGGGCUGCCUGUGGUGCUGCAUUAACAUCACAUCUCUGUGGAGAAGAAAUGAAGAGGAUGCAGCAGAGACCAAAAUGAAAUUCUCCUCAGAGUGGUCCAGAAGGAUGGAUAACUGCAAGAAAAUAUUAUUCCAUGGCUCUGGAAAAGGAGUAUCCACUUCUUUAGUAACCUGGACACAGCAGCAGCCUCCUCCUGCCACCAGCUCCCACGAGGAGCCAGCUGCACACCUGCAACCAGGCAAGGAGGGAGCAGGAGCUGUUGAGCCACGAGGAAGGCGAGCGAUGGCAGGUUCCUGUAGCAUUUCCACCCCGCGGGGCUCUUGGCGAGCCAGCGCUCGUCUGCUUUGAAAGCUCUUAGUGCUCCUGCAGUUCAGCACUCCGAAUGAUGAGCCUGCAGGCUGGAGGGAGAGCUCCCGAGAGAGGCGCCUGCGUGCAGGAGAUGGACACAACAAGUGUCUCACAUGGGUCGGUAUCUGAAGCGAUGUCUCUCUAAUUUUCUACAUCACUGAGAGCACAGCACAGCACCAUCAAUCACAGUCAACCUCCCCUCAGAAAGCCACCUCCUGUCUCACUGUGCUGUGGUGUCCCCCUGUGCUCCUGCCCAGGCUGGGGACCGCAGGUGUCCCGAGCAGCAGCACUGCAGGUACUGUCCCUCCCAGGGGGUUCUCAUUUGUUGUGUUAGAGCUUGCUUGGGGUUCUGUCUGUCUCCUUCCUCCACCCCCAGUGCCUGCUCCUUGCCAGCACCUCAUUUCCAGAUGCAUCUUCCCCUCCUGGAGUCAGAAAAGGCCAAAUGCUCCCUUCGUCUCCAGUGAGGAGAAGGUGUGGGGCUGCCUUACCUGGGAUAAACUCACUGUGUGCUGCCUGGGGGAGGCCUGAGGGUGCGCUUGGUGCUUGUGCUGCUCAUCUGAGGAUGGGGAGGUUGGCCUUUGCGGGUCCCAUGGAGCCAUCAGGGCAUGCUCAGGACUGGCUUCUUUGCCCCAGCUCUGGGCGUGGAGCAGCAUUCAUGCUGUGCUUGUCAUGCAAUGCAGCAGCUCUUGGUCCCUCAUCUCUCUUUUUGUGAAUCCCCCUGCUCCUUCCUGGCCUGGCUUGUUUGUACAAGACUCAGGGGCACUGCUUUGGCAGGAACAGUGGUGGUGGCUCUUCUCCUGGCCAGGCACACUCCUAGAGUAGCCAGAGGGCUGGUGGGACACAGAUCUGUGCCUGUGGCUGUUUCUUCUACUGCAGCACGGACAUAGCCUGUGGGUUUGCUGCCUCUUGCUUCUUUAUCUCUAUCAUGUGCUAAAUUGGGUGCUUUUCCUCAGUUGUGGUGGCUCUUGGACCUACCAAAACCUGGCUGACUUGUUCCUGGUAUCAUGAUACAGAAGUUGUUUACAGCCCCAUAUCUGACUCCAUGGGCUCAAGCUCCAGCUAGAAAACCAAGGACUGAGCUGCUUUCUUGAGCACAGCCUUAGAGAGAAGCAUUUUCAGAAGAAACUCUUGCAAUUGCCACCUCCCUCUCAGCCUCUUCACUGAUUUCUGCUGAGCAUCCUUGACCUCUUUCUCAGGCAUGGUUCCCUGUAUGUAUCAGCCCUGCUCUGGUGUUGUGGAGCUGUUGCUGGCAUCUGUAAUAGCUGCAUUGUUUACUUCCCAAGUGCCUGCCCUUUCUGUAAUGAGCUGUAAUUCAUCCUGCUUUAUACAGGGCUCCAGGAUACCUGGAGCAAGGAGGGUGUGCCAUUAAACCACCUCCUAGGCUGCUAUCUGGACCUGGGAUUGCUGAUCUCCUGGAGAUGUAAAAUAGGGAGGACAACGGGGACCAGAUGGAAAUGGGGAAUAAUUACCUUGCAGGGUGAAGGGGGCUGGCUGGGUUGGUAACUGCUGGGAGCUGACAUGCAGGUGCAGAUGGAUGGUUACAGCAGGCAGGGCAGAGGGAUGAAAGAUGCCUCUUUAAAGCAUCUGCCUUCCUCUCUUCCUCUGCUUUAUAACCUGAUUUUAUAGAGACUGCAUGAGGAACACAUUUUUUUUAUUAGCAGCUUGGGA